rnacentral:rRNA from 1 species
CAAGGGAUUUUCCGCAAUGGGGGCAACCCUGACGGAGCAACGCCGCGUGCGGGACGACGCCUCUUGGGGUGUAAACCGCUUUUGCCGGGGACGAGAACGGACGGUACCCGGCGAAUCAGGACCGGCUAACUACGUGCCAGCAGCCGCGGUAAUACGUAGGGUCCGAGCGUUGUCCGGAGUGACUGGGCGUAAAGCGCGCGCAGGCGGCCUGUUAGGCGCGACGUGAAAGCCCCGGGCUCAACCCGGGGGAGGGGUCGUCGCGAACCGGCGGGCUUGAGGCCGGUAGAGGUGGGUGGAACUCCUGGUGGAGUGGUGAAAUGCGUAGAGAUCAGGAAGAACACCCGUGGCGAAGGCGGCCCACUGGGCCGGUGCUGACGCUGAGGCGCGAAGGCGUGGGGAGCGAACGGGAUUAGAUACCCGGUAGUCCACGCAGUAAACGAUGUCGACUCGGUGUGGGCGGUCUUGACCCCGUCCGCGCCACAGCCAACGCGAGAAGUCGACCGCCUGGGGAGUACGGCCGCAAGGCUAAAACUCAAAGGAAUUGACGG